GACGAACGCUGGCGGCGUGCUUAACACAUGCAAGUCGAACGAAGUGGCGAACGGGUGAGUAACGCGUAAUCAACCUGCCCUUCAGAGGGGGACAACAGUUGGAAACGACUGCUAAUACCGCAUACUGAAGGAGGGGAUUGCGUCGGAUUAGCUAGUGGGUGGGGUAACGGCCCACCAAGGCGAUGAUCAGUAGCCGGUCUGAGGGGAUGAGCGGCCACAUUGGGACUGAGACACGGCCCAGACUCCGACGGGAGGCAGCAGUGGGGAAUCUUCCGCAAUGGACGAAAGUCUGACGGAGCAACGCCGCGUGGAGGAUGACACUUUUCGGGGCGUAAACUCCUUUUGUUAGGGAAGCGGUACCUAACGAAUAAGCACCGGCUAACUCCGUGCCAGCAGCCGCGGUAAUAC
rnacentral:rRNA from 1 species